rnacentral:lncRNA from 1 species
AUGUCUGCUAUGUCUUUUAAGAAAUGCCCUGUUCCCAUCCCAACACUGACUUCAGAGGUCAGGUGUCCAGAAGUCAAUCUUGUGGGACAGCAAACAUGUUUGGAUCUGCAUUCACCUGGAGCUGCUGGAGUGGAGAGAAAGCUUUGGAAGGACCCGUGGGGGAAAGUGGUAACUCUGAGUUUUGAAGGUUUCUAAGUCAUCUGAAUAUUACCAUGAAUGAAUUCAAUGUUCAAAGCAAAGCAAAAAAUGCC